UCUCCGUUGGUGAACCAGCGGAGGGAUCAUCACCGAAGUUACCUUCAAAACCCACUGUGAACCUUACCUCUUGCCGCGUUGUCUCGGCGGGAGGCGGUGUGCGUCGCGCGCCCUAGCGGGCCGCGCCGCUCCCGUCCCCGCCGGCAGCGCCAAACUCUAAAUGCACAGCGGACUGUACGUUCUGAUUUACAAAAAAAAACAAGUUAAAACUUUCAACAACGGAUCUCUUGGUUCUG
rnacentral:misc_RNA from 1 species